CUCCACUCUUUUGAAAAUCUUUACCAAGGGAUGUCUUGGUUCUCUUUCAAUGGCGGAGACAGCAUAUGUGUUUGUGCAUUACUUGAAGAUCUUCCACUCUACCAGAUGAAACUGGGAAAGGACAAUGUACCAAAGAGUAUCCAAGCACAGAAGGGAAUCUCAGUUUGAAGUUAGAAUUGAAUCCAAGAGGAAGAGAAGCAUCCUUCCUUCAGUGCCUUUGUGGUGGUGCUUGGUGAGAGAUAGUGGUGAAGGCAUUGCCUAAAGAGAGAGGCACUAACAGGCAGAGGAGUGGUUGAGACCAGUAAGAACUGCCCUGCCUGGUGGAGCAGAGGCAGAAGCUGAUGCCCAGGCUCUGCAGCAUCUAUAGGGAACUUGGUGCCUGCAGUGCUCAUCAAAUGAUCCAGAGGCCUCCUUGAACACUGCAAAACCCAGAAGAAAUUACCAUGCCAACGGAGCAGAACCAGAUCCUUUGGGGAAACACAGCGCUGGUGGAAGAACUAUAGCUCCAGCCACAGCUGAACUACAUUUUCUAGCAAUCCUCAGAAUAAGAUGUGGUCAUUGACUGAAUUCUGGACAAUGGAAUGGAGUAGAGUGAAAUACAUCACUCCUAGGUUUGGCCUGUCAAAUCUCAUGCACAAUUCUGUACAUUCAUGUGCCAGCCUCUCCUCGGGUGGGGACUCCAAGCACUUUGGAGUUGGUGGAGCCACA
rnacentral:lncRNA from 1 species